rnacentral:rRNA from 1 species
CGUAGGGUGCGAGCGUUAAUCGGAAUUACUGGGCGUAAAGCGUGCGCAGGCGGUUUUGUAAGACAAAUGUGAAAUCCCCGGGCUCAACCUGGGACCUGCAUUUGUGACUGCAAGGCUAGAGUACGGUAGAGGGGGAUGGAAUUCCGCGUGUAGCAGUGAAAUGCGUAGAUAUGCGGAGGAACACCGAUGGCGAAGGCAAUCCCCUGGACCUGUACUGACGCUCAUGCACGAAAGCGUGGGGAGCAAACAGGAUUAGAUACCCUGGUAGUCCACGCCCUAAACGAUGUCAACUGGUUGUUGGGUCUUUACUGACUCAGUAACGAAGCUAACGCGUGAAGUUGACCGCCUGGGGAGUACGGCCGCAAGGUUG